rnacentral:rRNA from 1 species
GACGAAGGAUGCAAGCGUUAUCCGGAUUCAUUGGGUUUAAAGGGAGCGUAGGCGGACUUGUAAGUCAGUGGUGAAAUCUUUGGGCUUAACCCAGAAACUGCCAUUGAUACUGCAGGUCUAGAGUACAGUUGCCGUUGGCGGAAUAUGACAUGUAGUGGUGAAAUACUUAGAUAUGUCAUAGAACACCGAUUGCGAAGGCAGCUAACGAAGCUGUAACUGACGCUGAGGCUCGAAAAGUGCGGGGGAUCAAGCAGG